GAUGAACGCUGGCGGCGUGCCUAAUACAUGCAAGUCGGGCGAACGGACGAGAAGCUUGCUUCUCUGAUGUUAGCGGCGGACGGGUGAGUAACACGUGGAUAACCUACCUAUAAGACUGGGAUAACUUCGGGAAACCGGAGCUAAUACCGGAUGAUAUUUUGAACCGCAUGGUUCAAAAGUGAAAGACGGUCUUGCUGUCACUUAUAGAUGGAUCCGCGCUGCAUUAGCUAGUUGGUAAGGUAACGGCUUACCAAGGCAACGAUGCAUAGCCGACCUGAGAGGGUGAUCGGCCACACUGGAACUGAGACACGGUCCAGACUCCUACGGGAGGCAGCAGUAGGGAAUCUUCCGCAAUGGGCGAAAGCCUGACGGAGCAACGCCGCGUGAGUGAUGAAGGUCUUCGGAUCGUAAAACUCUGUUAUUAGGGAAGAACAUAUGUGUAAGUAACUGUGCACAUCUUGACGGUACCUAAUCAGAAAGCCACGGCUAACUACGU
rnacentral:rRNA from 1 species